rnacentral:rRNA from 1 species
GACGAACGCUGGCGGCGUGCUUAACACAUGCAAGUCGAACGGAAAGGCCCUGCUUUUGUGGGGUGCUCGAGUGGCGAACGGGUGAGUAACACGUGAGUAACCUGCCCUUGACUUUGGGAUAACUUCAGGAAACUGGGGCUAAUACCGGAUAGGAGCUCCUGCUGCAUGGUGGGGGUUGGAAAGUUUCGGCGGUUGGGGAUGGACUCGCGGCUUAUCAGCUUGUUGGUGGGGUAGUGGCUUACCAAGGCUUUGACGGGUAGCCGGCCUGAGAGGGUGACCGGCCACAUUGGGACUGAGAUACGGCCCAGACUCCUACGGGAGGCAGCAGUGGGGAAUAUUGCACAAUGGGCGGAAGCCUGAUGCAGCAACGCCGCGUGCGGGAUGACGGCCUUCGGGUUGUAAACCGCUUUCGCCUGUGACGAAGCGUGAGUGACGGUAAUGGGUAAAGAAGCACCGGCUAACUACGUGCCAGCAGCCGCGGUGAUACGUAGGGUGCGAGCGUUGUCCGGAUUUAUUGGGCGUAAAGGGCUCGUAGGUGGUUGAUCGCGUCGGAAGUGUAAUCUUGGGGCUUAACCCUGAGCGUGCUUUCGAUACGGGUUGACUUGAGGAAGGUAGGGGAGAAUGGAAUUCCUGGUGGAGCGGUGGAAUGCGCAGAUAUCAGGAGGAACACCAGUGGCGAAAGCGGUUCUCUGGGCCUUUCCUGACGCUGAGGAGCGAAAAGCGUGGGGAGCGAACAGGCUUAGAUACCCUGGUAGUCCACGCUGUAAACGGUGGGUACUAGGUGUGGGGUCCAUUCCACGGGUUCCGUGCCGUAGCUAACGCUUUAAGUACCCCGCCUGGGGAGUACGGCCGCAAGGCUAAAACUCAAAGGAAUUGACGGGGCCCCGCACAAGCGGCGGAGCAUGCGGAUUAAUUCGAUGCAACGCGUAGAACCUUACCUGGGUUUGACAUGGAUCGGGAGUGCUCAGAGAUGGGUGUGCCUCUUUUGGGGUCGGUUCACAGGUGGUGCAUGGCUGUCGUCAGCUCGUGUCGUGAGAUGUUGGGUUAAGUCCCGCAACGAGCGCAACCCUUGUUCACUGUUGCCAGCACGUUAUGGUGGGGACUCAGUGGAGACCGCCGGGGUCAACUCGGAGGAAGGUGGGGAUGACGUCAAGUCAUCAUGCCCCUUAUGUCCAGGGCUUCACGCAUGCUACAAUGGCUGGUACAGAGAGUGGCGAGCCUGUGAGGGUGAGCGAAUCUCGGAAAGCCGGUCUCAGUUCGGAUUGGGGUCUGCAACUCGACCUCGUGAAGUCGGAGUCGCUAGUAAUCGCAGAUCAGCAACGCUGCGGUGAAUAAGUUCCCGGGGCU